rnacentral:lncRNA from 1 species
UUUUUUGUCAUCUGAUGUUAUUGAUAAUAACUUGAAAGGAUACAUGUGUUACAAAGCAUAAGCCGGCGGAAAACAAGAUUUCCCCAGAGUCUAAAGCCGGCGGAAGACAAGAUUUCCCCGGAGUCUAAAGCCCUAUGAAAGGGAAGCCAUAGUCAUAACUAAACUACAAGGCAAGAUGGACAUACACUAAGGAUCAAAAUGGAUCAAUGCUCUAAAACCGACCAGCUGAAACAGUAGACUUCACUUAACUUCCCAUAGAACCUUUAGCGCCGAGCAGCCUCAAGGAGACCGGAUGUGCCAUAUAACCGAAGUCAAACCAAUAGCACGCCGACAAGAAGGAAAGCAGAGCCCACUGAAAACAGAGAAACAGAAACUGCCACCGUCGCGCCAAACCAGAACAGUCAAAGAGCUAGGAACAAGGAGACAACCCUUGAGAUUCGACCUGAGAUAAGUCAAAGAAGACAAACCACUCUAACACACGGACACUCGUCGACCUAGCUUCCGCCAUCUACCGUCAUGAAACUAGUGACGUCCUCGCAAGAGAAGAGCAGAAGGUCGAGUCCAUUGCUUGGCCUGAAACCCAUCAGACUACAACAAAGCAGCCAAGAGAAGGGGAUAGUAGAUGAUCUCACAACGAAAUACCAUCCGAAUGACAAACUCAAAAUCAAAACCUAGCCCAUAACCAAGAAUCAGAAGAUCCAACAGAGCAGAAGCGCAAAGGUCCAAACGCAAAUCCCAAAAGCUAAAUCCAAGGAAUCAAGCCCAAACAACAACAACUACAAAAAACCAAAGAGAGAUCUAGACUAGAGAAAACACGGA